UGUUAGACUCAGCGGGCAGCAUAUCUGCUGACUGACUUCCUUCUCCAUUUGUCUGAUUAGUCAGCAAGGGUCCAGCUUGCGCUGUGUUACUCUGACAGCAAAUCCAGCUUCCAUUCAGCCACAUAAACUGUUGAUGCUGCUAAUGGGAAAGCUCCGGGCUCCAGCUUUACUGACAAUCAUGUUUUUAGGUGCUGCUAAGCAAGGCCAGUGUUACUUGGCUUCUCAUUACAAUAAGCAAAUGCUUAACUUUUUCAACACAUAAGAAGGCAAGAUGCAGGAUGCUUGGAGGUCUACUCUUCUCGAAAAGAAAUUAGGGGAACACUUGAUCGGUGCACUAUACGCCAGCACAUGUUACCCUUUGCAGCGUGUUCUUUCUCAACCUGUGGAGAGACUUCAUCAGGAUGUGUGAAUGCAGGCCAAUAUCAUGCAGCUCAACAAGCAGCUAAAGGACAUUUGGACCUCAUGCCACCCUCAUGGAGACUGUUUCUGACACUUUGGACAAGAACGUGCAAAUGAGUAGCCCACUGGAGGUCAUUUUGUAGGACGGUACUCCUCAUGUUCGUCCUUGCAAAAAGGAGCAGAGUUUCACACGCCUCACAAACCACAGUUUUCCUGAAAAUGUGAGAGAUCUUCUGUUCAAGUAAGGAAAAUCCAACGUUUGAAGAAACCAGCUGUGAUUGUGCUCCACUGUGCCAACUGUGACCCACAUCCUCAUCUGUUACUGCGCUUUAAACAGAAAGCACAACAUCUUCCGGAUACAUUUUCAGCAAAUUCCGGUCUGUAUUUGUUAAAUAAAC